UACGUAUGGACCGAGCGUUGUCCGGAAUUAUUGGGCGUAAAGGGCACGUAGGCGGUCUAGUAAGUUAGAAGUGAAAGGCACUAGCUCAACUAAAGUAAGCUUUUAAAACUGCUAGACUUGAGAGAUUGAGGGGAAAGUGGAAUUCCUAGUGUAGCGGUGAAAUGCGCAGAUAUUAGGAGGAAUACCGGUGGCGAAGGCGGCUUUCUGGCCAUUAUCUGACGCUGAGGUGCGAAAGCGUGGGGAGCAAACAGG
rnacentral:rRNA from 1 species